AUUUUCAAAAAAAUAACUGUUUCAUUCUGCGACAGGAUCGCACUUACAGCUGGGGAAAACUUGAAUAUAUGGUUAUAUUUCAGGGCGCGGUUUGGGGGAGUAUGAAAUGGUUGUGUUAGCUACCCUGUACCCAUACUCAGUGCUUGUAUUUAUUAAUGUUUCUAAAUUCAAACCAUUGUCAAGUGUUACGUGUAUAAGAUGGAAAGGUCUAAAUUGUAGGUUAGGUAUAAACUUCAGAUUAUACCAUCCACCCAGCAGACCAACGUCAACAGGUUUGUGUGAUGGCUGUCCCUAUCUUUACAUUCAAUGUGAACCACAAGCUAUUGCCUGGACGGGUCACCAUAGGCAAGUACGAUGGCACACAUUCCUGCCUCACUGCAGCCACAACAGCAGACAAGGUGUUGGUGCACAGUCCACACAGACGUAUGGGCCUUGCUGUGGGGCGAGUGGUACCAAGUGAUGCAAAUAAAGAACUUGCCCUCCUGAAUAUCAACCAGUCUGUGAUGUCCAUUUGCGCUGGUCAGCUGAGUUUGACAGAAGAACGAGACACCCUCGUGGUUGGAACCCCUACCACCUUGCUUGCAUAUGAUGUUGAAAAUAAUACUGAUGUUUUUUAUAAAGAGGUAUCAGAUGGGGCAAGUGUUGUUGUUAUUGGGAAGCUGGGCAGUAUUCCAAACCCUCUUGCCAUUAUCGGAGGUAAUUGCUCUUUACAAGGAUUUGAUUAUGAAGGAAAUGACCCAUUUUGGACUGUGACAGGGGACAAUGUCUGCUCACUGGCUCUUUUGGAUUUUGAUCAAGAUGGAGAAAAUGAGUUAAUAGUUGGUUCUGAAGACUUUGACAUCCGAGUAUUCAAAGAGGACAACAUUGUCAAUGAACAAACAGAAACAGAAGCAGUAACAGCGCUCACAGCAUUUCGAGGCAACAAGUUUGGUUAUGGACUUGCAAAUGGAACUGUUGGCGUUUAUGAGAAAUUACAGAGACUCUGGAGGGUGAAAUCGAAGAAUCGUGCAGUGGCUAUUUAUGGCUAUGACCUGAAUGGUGAUGGUGUGGAAGAACUCAUCACUGGCUGGUCCAAUGGGAAGAUUGAUGCACGUAGUAGUCGUACUGGAGAGGUCAUUUUUAAGGACAAUCUAAACCAUUCAGUAGCUGGUAUUGUAGAGGGAGAUUACAGACUGUCGGGUAAAAAUGAUCUUAUCUGCUGCUCUGUAGAAGGAGAAGUGCGUGGCUACAACCUCUCACGACAGGUAAAUGUGCGGUCUGAUGUGUAUGGAGGUAGUGUAAAUGCGGAGACAGAAGCUAUUCGAGACUUGUUCACAAAGAAGCAAGCUCUAAUGCUUGAACUGCGCAAUUAUGAGCUCAACAGUCAUUUUUCUGAAAUUAGUGUUGGAGAAAUGGGACAGCAACUUGCAGUGGCUAAUCAACACGUUGGAAUUAUACCUGCCCAAACAAGAUUACAGACUGGAAUUGCUGUCAACAUGGGUACUGAAGACAAACCCCCACAUGUUGAGAUUUCCUUGUCUACAAAUAAUGAGACUGUCAUUUGUGCAGUUAUGGUAUUUGCAGAAGGAAUUUUUGAAGGUGAAACUCAUGUGCUUCAUCCAAAAGAGUCAGAAGUGACAUCAAGAUUGGAUGUGGCUCUGUAUCCACCCAGAGAUGUUCCAGUUGAUAUUCACAUUAAGGCAUUGGUUGGAUAUGAAGGAAGCCAGCACUAUCAUGUGUUUGAACUAACUAGACAGUUGCCACGGUUUUCAAUGUAUGCUGUGCUUGUUGAACGGACACAGGAUGUUGGCAGUUUUCUCUCCUUUGUCAUCAAUGAAAGACUGCAGCGGAUUGCCAUGUGGGUUAAUCAAAACUUCUUGCUUUUGACUGAUUACGAAGUUGUGGGAGACUUGAACGUAACUUUCCUUUCUCUCCGAGACAAUACUGAGGUGACUCUCAGUAUGGAAUCCAAUGGGCGUAUGGAAAUCAUCACUAAAAACAUGGCAUUAGCUGGGGAUAUUGUCCAGUCACUUGCCACAUUCUUGAAUUUGGAGGAACUUCAGGUGAGUGCAAACUUUCCUGAGGAGCAAGAGAAAAUUGGGGAGCUCAUUCAGAAGGUUUCUGCCCUUCAAGAUGUUCGAUUAAGACUUGGUGCUGAGAUGGCAGAUCACUCAGGCCUUAUUCGUAGUUUGGUGGUUCGUGCCGAAGAUGCCAGACAUUUGGAUGAUAUGAAAAGUAUGCGUAAAUGGUACUUGGAGCUGAAUGAAGUAAACACAGAUUUGAUUAGAGGCUAUAAUAUUCGCUGCAAGAACCACCAAGAAUUAUUGGAUGCUCUCAAAGAGUUGAAUGUCAUCAUACAGAAAGCUGCACGAUUACGAGUUGGGAAAUACAAAACAAACACAGUGAACCUGUGUCGAAUAGCCUUGAAGAACAAUAAUCUCAACUCUCUGGUGAAAAUCAUGAAAACAGGAGAAGCAUGAUCUUGUCGUCUGUACAUACUUUUCGUGUGGAAACUCUUCACAUGCUAUAGCAAUGCUGAUGCUAAGGCCUGCGUUCAGAUCUUUGGAAUAUCCUGCACCAAUAGACAUGCCAUCAAUGAAGUUGUGUAGAGCAUCACCAAAUAUUAUCAUGUAUGCCACUGUGGCCUUGGAGAGCAAAUCAGUUGUAAUUCUGAGUGUCCAUAUUACUCGUGCGUGUACAUACCUCAGGAAUCAGUUGAAAUGUUGAUGUUGCUGAUAGAGAACCAACAGCAAGACCAAUGAGAAUUCGCAUCAUCUGGUUGUAAAACUUGGAAUUGAUUAGUGGCCAGAAGAGACCUCCAAACAAUCCUGACAAACUGAUGAGUGCAACAGAACAAAGACCAAAUCCCCAAACUGGAAAUUACAAGAUUGCAUUAGGAUAUUUGGUGUUUUUCAUUAUACCCUAGAAUUGAAUGCUUAUAAUUUAAAUAGGUCCAGCCAUCACUGUGUUCCUUAGGUACCUUCAGAAUCUAAGUUACGUACAAAUUCAUAGGACUAUUGAUAAUCUCUAAAUUAAUUCUAAGGAGCUACCUUCAUGUAGACUCAUAGGUAGAUGCCAGUGUUAGCAUCUACCUGUGACACCAAAACCCAAAAUAUCAUCCUAACUGCCUUGGAAACCUUAAAUCUCACAUUUAAAUUACAAAGUAUAAAAAUGGUGCAGAAUUGUUUCUUGACAAAUUAAUGAACUUGACAAAAUAAUAGAUAAUUAGAAUGCCGCAUGAUCAUGAGUAAAGUCUUUCAUUAAAAUGCAAUAGGCAUGCCAGAAUAGUUUUUAUAGCAGCAGACUGUGAUUUUGUAUGAGGGGGUGGGGGAGAAUGGAAGUUUUGACAGUAGGUAGCCAGAGUGUGCUGCUCACUUGUUUAUCUGUAGCAUGUUGGCACUAUUGUUUAUUGAACUGUGAGGUAGGAACUUUGUAAUUUAAUUUUAAUGACUGAGGAGACCGUGAAUACUGCCACCAAUUCACUUGUUGCGCUGCCAUCUGGAUUUCCUAUAUACUGCUCAGAACUUUGACCUAACGUCCUUUCAGUUUUUUUAUUCUUCCCUCAGAGUGACAAACCAAGUUUCACACUCAUUCAUUGGGUAUAAUACAGUAUUUGUAUUUGUAUUUUAAUUUGUAGAAAGAAAUAGAGAAAACAGUUUCAUUACCAGACCAAUCUGCCUGCUGGCAUAAAAGAUAAUUUUGAUGUUCUUUAGGUAGAUAUAAUUUUUUUUCACUAUGUUAUCAUGACACACAUAUAAAUGAAAUGCCAUGUAGCUUGGAAUGUUUUAUCAAUAUUAAGUAUUGCAAAUGUUAUCUGAUAUGUUGCAAUAAAAGAUAUCAUUGAGACCACUUUAUUAUUUAUCAGGUAAAGUACCAGGCCUGAUUAGCCAGUAUUUUUAAAAAGGUGUUACAGGAAUUCUGUAUGUCACAGUAUUAAACUGUGUAAAAAUUUUAUGAAUGUUACUGUUCAGCUAGUCAAUGAAAUCCUUAUUUUUCAUGGAACCCAGAGGUUAUUUACUGUGAUUACCAGACCUUGCCAUUGGUGCCUAUCCCAAGUCAGAUGAAUCCAGUCCACACCCUCCAACCCAAUUUUCAUUAUAAUGUUAUCCUCCCAUCUAUGCCCAAGUCUUCAGAAUGGUGUUUUCCCUCCAGGCUUACUAACCAAAAUUGUGUAUGCAUUUCUUCAUCAUAAUAACAUUUGGUGAAAACAAAUUUCUCUAACUUGAAAUGUUUGUAUGGCUGAUAUUUUAGAAUUGUAGAAAAUAAGAAUUAAAUGCCUUCCAAUGCUUUGUCCAUCUUAUUUCAUUUUAUAAAAAUUGGCAAAGUCAAAAGUCAUUUUUGAGACUUACACGCUCAAAUCAUGCAUCAUAUGAUAUGCUCCUUUUCAACUUGGACUAAACUUAGAAUGAGUUACUUUUGUUAAUCACAAGUGACAGCUGUGGAUCUUGUCAUUGUCCUGUCUCCUAGGAUGUUGCACCAUGUACUGUGGUGGAAAUUGAGCUACAGUUUACUCUGAAACGUGGUAAAUUUAUACCAGACCACAUGAUGUAACAUCCCAGAGGACAGCCAUCUUACUCAUCACUGUGAGAACCUGAAGUCUCACCAAGUAUAAGCUACUUUGUGUUUUCUGUAGUGUCCAUAUUCUGAUAAUGUCUGUUAAUUCUCUUGGUUCCUUAAGACAUUUUAUUGUGUUAGAUUGUGAUAUGUACUACUACACAUUCUGUGUAAUAGGAACAAAUUAACAAAAGGUUUAGUUGAAGGUUUACCUUUUACUGAUGAGGGUUUGUUGAUGACAGUGUGCUGUAAAAUGUCAUGUUGAAUUUCUUCAUCAUACUUGAGCCAUGAACAAGUAGCAUUAUUCUCCAUUCCAUUUUGAGAUGUACUCGGUGACAGUGCUUCUAUUUUAUUACACUGUGUAGAGAAAUUGAGCUUUAGCAGAAGUAAUCAAAUGGAACAGAAUUCAUAUGCUCUAGGUCAUAUGUCUGCUGGCUUCAAUUCUUUGAAUAUAAAAGUGGGAUUACUAAUAGGAAAGGCCAGUUACAGACAGUCUCUGACUUAUGUAAGGAUUCAUUUCUGCAAACCCAUAGGUAAGCCGUAUUUUAUGUAUGUCAGAAAUUACCAUAAGUAUUUAGAUUUUGUCAUUAUAUACUUUGAUGGUACUCUACAUAUAGUAAAAAUAAUAUAACAUUAACAUACACCUAACAUACCUUAAUUCAUAAUGGUAAUUGUUCAAAAAUUGAUUAAACUCUGAAUAAUUUGAUUUAAAACAUCAUUGAAUAUAUGGUUAAAAAUGUAUUUUCUGAGACUUUUAUUUACAGUCAAAUUUGUAUAAAUAUUGAUUAACCCAGACAGUUACUUUAUAAACAAAAGAAUUGGGGGUUUUAUACAUUGGUAUGUAUGGUUUUAUUGUUAUAUGUUACUCAUUGCUUGUUAAUUUGUCUUAAGAAAGAUAUUAGAAUAAGUACUUACAUGAAUUGUGACUUCCUCCAGAAUUCACCAUCACGAGUCAUAUAACUAAACAUUUUUGCAACUCUACAGUGUGUCUGCCAGUCACACUGUUUUAUGACAGCUGUGUUGAGCCUAUAUGUGUUCAUGUGAGAGUGGAUUAAGUCCCUAACCAGUUGUUUAUAAUUCCUGCUUGUACUGUAGCUGUUGGUUAAAUGUAAUCUUUACAGCUUCAUGAGUGUAAUCUCUGAAGUGCUCGAAGGAGCCAUGUCUGAAAUGUUAUCUAUCUACAUAUGAGGCCAGAUGGUGUCACAGCCCAGAACAACAUUGACAUCUUCACUCAAAUAUGUAUUUAUAUUUGUACAAGAAACAAGUAUUUUAUUUGUGCUAUGACCUGUUCUACAUCCUUGGCUUAGGUCUAUGAAGGAUCUAUGGAAUGUAAAUAAAUUCUAUUCUGUGGGAACCUGAAAUGUUGUACAGCAUGUUUGUUUGGUGGCUUCUGUUUCUGAAGGGAACAGUCGCAUGUUGUCACUUUCUUCUGGCAUCCAGUAAUUUUUUGUUUCAGAUUGUGAUCAAUAGUGAUUCCUCUGUGGAACAAGGGAAUAGGCUGUUUCCAUAAUUUCAGUUUCAAUUUUAACAAAUAAUAAUGAGAGUAAGAAGAUAUUUUUUGGAAAUUUAAGAUAUGUUUUAUCAAACUGCAAUUAGCAGCAGUGCUGUGAACAUGAUUUACAUCUUUUUCUGGCUAGUCCAAAAAUUUAUGGUUUGUUGAGAGGAGGAAACUGAUUCAAAUCAGUUGGUCUGGUUUUUGCAUGCAGGAGUCGCAUCUGUAUUAUAUUUACAGUUCUCCUUUUGACUUGAAUUAUUGUGGAAGUGAUAAAGGAAUUACAGUCAUCUUCAUAUUUAUACACUGUCUUUUCUGCUUUUAUCAUGGUACUGCUCGUAAUUGUAUUGUGAUAAAAUUUCCAUUAGCAGCAAAUUUCCUCUAAAACAGUUGAUAAAAUGUAGUCAGUAGGUUGUUUUGGUGGAAGCACAGAUUUUGUAUUGGUUAAUAUGUUGUGCUGUAUCUGCACUACGUUUACAACAGUUAUUAAUCUUCAGUGACAUUAUCUUUAUGUUCUUCCAGUAUUAUCUGGCUGUACACUUCAUUCACUAACAUGCACAGGAUUUCAUUGUGUUGUUUAAUAGACAAAGCUUCACUGAAUGACAGACUACACAUAUUAGUAAUGGCAACAGCCUACUACUAAACCAUGUGAUGUCACCAAAAUAAAUCCAUCACUGAAUAA